ACCAAGCAGGGUAAUAGAAAAAAAGAGUACUUUAAUCGAAGUAUGCGAAUAUUUCCAUACCUUUUUUUCAUAAUGUCAUCGAAAAAUUACCAUUAAGGCUGCUAAUAGUAUUAUUGGUAUCGAAAUACUACACUAUUUGACGUGGUAAAACCUCUAUUACCCUGCUAGGUGCUUUGUUACAGAGAAAAUGAAAAU